CCUACGGGUGGCAGCAGUGGGGAAUAUUGCACAAUGGGGGAAACCCUGAUGCAGCGACGCCGCGUGAAGGAAGAAGGAUUUCGGGAUGUAAACUUCUAUCAGCAGGGAAGAAAAUGACGGUACCUGACGAAGAAGCCCCGGCUAACUACGGGCCAGCAGCCGCGGGAAUACGUAGGGGGCAAGCGUGAGCCGGAUUUACUGGGGGUAAAGGGAGCGGAGGCGGGGGAGCAAGUCAGACGUGAAAGCCCGGGGCUCCACUCCGGGACUGCUUUUGAUACUGUUGAACUAGAUUGCAGGAGAGGUAAGUGGAAUUCCUAGUGUAGCGGUGAAAUGCGUAGAUAUUAGGAGGAACACCAGUGGCGAAGGCGGCUUCCUGGACUGUAACUGACGCUCAGGCUCG
rnacentral:rRNA from 1 species